rnacentral:rRNA from 1 species
AUGAUUUCUACACACGAAGCUCUACUAUCUGGUGUCAAGGACUCCCUCCGCAUCACUAGUUGUGGUUCAUGCCAAUGUUGCCAGGCUAUGAUAUCCAACUUGGAGUUUCAUCAUGUCUACAAGUUCUUGUCGCGGCUUCGUAGGGAGUUUGAGUCGUGCCACGCUCUAUACUUUACCAAUGUGCUACGUGUUUCUAGGCACUUACUGAGAUUCAUGCUGAGGAGACUCACCUUUGUGGUGUUGGUCUGCUUGAGGUUCUCUCUAUGCUUGCUAUUCAAGAUCCUACUACGUCGUCAAUUGCACCGGCUCCCUACCCCAACAGUGCUCCGACGCUUCUAUGCACUCCAAGUGGUGAAGGUCAUGCUCGUACUCAUGACGACUAUUGCAAUAGGGAUGGUCACCUCAAAUUGGAUUUCUUCAAGAAGAAGAGGCAUAUGGGUGGCUCUUCUUCUGGGACUCAUGCUCCUACUCCAACACCCUCGGCUAUCUCUGUAA